rnacentral:rRNA from 1 species
CGUUCAACCCUCACCCUUCCUUGUCCUUUCCGCCUAUAUACCGCCGUCGCCAGCUUACCCUAUGAAGGUUAAAUAGUAAGCAAAAUUGGCACAACCCCAGUACGUCAGGUCAAGGUGUAGCUUACGGGAGGGGAAGCAAUGGGCUACAUUUACUGCCCCAGUAAAUACGGAUUUUGCUCUGAAAAGAGCACCUGAAGGAGGAUUUAGCAGUAAGAGAGGAGUACGAGCGCCUCUCUGAAACCGGCCCUAAAGCGUGCACACACCGCCCGUCACUCUCCCCAACGGCUAACCCCCAAUAAUAACUAAUAUAUUUCCGCCACAAAGGGGAGGCAAGUCGUAACAUGGUAAGCGUACCGGAAGGUGCGCUUGGAAAAAC